CGAAUGGGGAAACCCGGUGCACUUCGGUGCAUCAUCGUUAGCUGAAUACAUAGGCUAACGAGGCGAACCGGGGGAACUGAAACAUCUAAGUACCCCGAGGAAAAGAAAUCAACCGAGAUUCCCCCAGUAGCGGCGAGCGAACGGGGAACAGCCCAGAGCCUGAAUCAGCUUGUGUGUCAGUGGAACGGUCUGGAAAGGCCGGCGAUACAGGGUGACAGCCCCGUACACGAAGGCACACAGGCUGUGAGCUCGAUGAGUAGGGCGGGACACGUGAUAUCCUGUCUGAAGAUGGGGGGACCAUCCUCCAAGGCUAAAUACUCCUGACUGACCGAUAGUGAACCAGUACCGUGAGGGAAAGGCGAAAAGAACCCCGGCGAGGGGAGUGAAACAGAACCUGAAACCGUGUACGUACAAGCAGUGGGAGCCUUCGUAAGAGGGUGACUGCGUACCUUUUGUAUAAUGGGUCAGCGACUUAUAUUCUGUAGCAAGGUUAACCGUAUAGGGGAGCCGAAGGGAAACCGAGUCUUAACCGGGCGUUAAGUUGCAGGGUAUAGACCCGAAACCCGGUGAUCUAGCCAUGGGCAGGUUGAAGGUUGGGUAACACUAACUGGAGGACCGAACCGACUAAUGUUGAAAAAUUAGCGGAUGACCUGUGGCUGGGGGUGAAAGGCCAAUCAAACCGGGAGAUAGCUGGUUCUCCCCGAAAGCUAUUUAGGUAGCGCCUCGUGAACUCAUCUCCGGGGGUAGAGCACUGUUUCGGCUAGGGGGCCAUCCCGGCUUACCAACCCGAUGCAAACUGCGAAUACCGGAGAAUGUUAUCACGGGAGACACACGGCGGGUGCUAACGUCCGUCGUGAAGAGGGAAACAACCCAGACCGCCAGCUAAGGUCCCAAAGUCAUGGUUAAGUGGGAAACGAUGUGGGAAGGCCCAGACAGCCAGGAUGUUGGCUUAGAAGCAGCCAUCAUUUAAAGAAAGCGUAAUAGCUCACUGGUCGAGUCGGCCUGCGCGGAAGAUGUAACGGGGCUAAACCAUGCACCGAAGCUGCGGCAGCGACACUAUGUGUUGUUGGGUAGGGGAGCGUUCUGUAAGCCUGUGAAGGUGUGCUGUGAGGCAUGCUGGAGGUAUCAGAAGUGCGAAUGCUGACAUAAGUAACGAUAAAGCGGGUGAAAAGCCCGCUCGCCGGAAGACCAAGGGUUCCUGUCCAACGUUAAUCGGGGCAGGGUGAGUCGACCCCUAAGGCGAGGCCGAAAGGCGUAGUCGAUGGGAAACAGGUUAAUAUUCCUGUACUUGGUGUUACUGCGAAGGGGGGACGGAGAAGGCUAUGUCGGCCGGGCGACGGUUGUCCCGGUUUAAGCGUGUAGGCUGACUUUCCAGGCAAAUCCGGAAAGUUAAGGCUGAGGCGUGAUGACGAGGCACCACGGUGCUGAAGUGACAAAUGCCCUGCUUCCAGGAAAAGCCUCUAAGCAUCAGGUAACAUCAAAUCGUACCCCAAACCGACACAGGUGGUCAGGUAGAGAAUACCAAGGCGCUUGAGAGAACUCGGGUGAAGGAACUAGGCAAAAUGGUGCCGUAACUUCGGGAGAAGGCACGCUGACAUGUAGGUGAAGCCCCUGCGGGUGGAGCUGAAGUCAGUCGAAGAUACCAGCUGGCUGCAACUGUUUAUUAAAAACACAGCACUGUGCAAACACGAAAGUGGACGUAUACGGUGUGACGCCUGCCCGGUGCCGGAAGGUUAAUUGAUGGGGUUAUCGCAAGAGAAGCUCCUGAUCGAAGCCCCGGUAAACGGCGGCCGUAACUAUAACGGUCCUAAGGUAGCGAAAUUCCUUGUCGGGUAAGUUCCGACCUGCACGAAUGGCGUAAUGAUGGCCAGGCUGUCUCCACCCGAGACUCAGUGAAAUUGAACUCGCUGUGAAGAUGCAGUGUACCCGCGGCAAGACGGAAAGACCCCGUGAACCUUUACUACAGCUUGACACUGAACAUUGAGCCUUGAUGUGUAGGAUAGGUGGGAGGCUUUGAAGCGUGGACGCCAGUCUGCGUGGAGCCGACCUUGAAAUACCACCCUUUAAUGUUUGAUGUUCUAACCUGGCGCCGUGAUCCGGCGUGGGGACAGUGUCUGGUGGGUAGUUUGACUGGGGCGGUCUCCUCCCAAAGUGUAACGGAGGAGCACGAAGGUCAGCUAAUCCUGGUCGGACAUCAGGAGGUUAGUGCAAUGGCAUAAGCUGGCUUGACUGCGAGAGUGACGGCUCGAGCAGGUGCGAAAGCAGGUCAUAGUGAUCCGGUGGUUCUGUAUGGAAGGGCCAUCGCUCAACGGAUAAAAGGUACUCCGGGGAUAACAGGCUGAUACCGCCCAAGAGUUCAUAUCGACGGCGGUGUUUGGCACCUCGAUGUCGGCUCAUCACAUCCUGGGGCUGAAGUAGGUCCCAAGGGUAUGGCUGUUCGCCAUUUAAAGUGGUACGCGAGCUGGGUUUAGAACGUCGUGAGACAGUUCGGUCCCUAUCUGCCGUGGGCGCUGGAGAAUUGAGGGGGGCUGCUCCCAGUACGAGAGGACCGGAGUGGACGCAUCACUGGUGUUCGGGUUGUCAUGCCAAUGGCACUGCCCGGUAGCUAAAUGCGGAAGAGAUAAGUGCUGAAAGCAUCUAAGCACGAAACUUGCCCCGAGAUGAGUUCUCCCUGAGACUGUAAGUCUCCUGAAGGAACGUUGAAGACGACGACGUUGAUAGGCCGGGUGUGUAAGCGCAGCGAUGCGUUGAGCUAACCGGUACUAAUGAACCGUGAGGCUUAACCUUACAACGCCAAAGAAGU
rnacentral:rRNA from 1 species